rnacentral:rRNA from 1 species
CCUACGGGGGGCAGCAACCAGGAAUAUUGCGCAAUGGACGAAAGUCUGACGCAGCGACGCCGCGUGGAGGAAGACGGCCUUAGGGUUGUAAACUCCUUUUGCCAAGGCUUGGCGAAUAAGCCCCUACUAACUACGUGCCAGAAGUCUCGGUAAUACGUAGGGGGCAAGCGUUAUCCGGAUUUACUGGGCGUAAAGUGUGCGUAGGCGCCCCAUUAAGUCGUGCUUUAAAUACUAAGGCUUACCCUUAGAGCUGAGUACGAUACUGUUGGGGUUGAGGAUGAUAGGGCAGCUGGAACAGUACGUGUAGCAGUGAAAUGCGUUGAUAUGUACUGGAACACCAAGGGCGAAGGCAGGCUGCUGGUUUCCUGACGCUGAGGCACGAAAGCUAGGGUAGCGAAACAGAUUAGAUACCCGUGUAGUC